UAAGACGCGACCUUUUCCUGACAAACCCUUUAUAUAUUUUCAGAGAAACACAUGUGCAAUCCCACCCUUCCUCAACCAACCUACACACUGAAUGUACAUGCCAACUAGAUGCCACGUGAGUGAUAUACUCAGACAAGAGAGGAUGCUGUCCCUAUUUCCAGAUGCUUCGAGUAGGAGCUAAGGUGAAGGUGGAGAGGCUUCUCCUCUUUCCCUCUGUGCCAUGGUUACAAAGGAAGCAGGAGACUGUGGAUCAAGUUUAGAGGAGGGAGAACAGGUGAAGAUGGUUGUAUGAUUUUUCUCCUUCGGUGAACCACAGCCCUGAGACAAACUCAAGUUUCUUUGUGAGGUAGUGCCAAGUCUAUGAAGUAAGUCACACAACAGAGGAUCCCAGGCCACACCCUUGGUUUAAUGAAAAUGAUUCACAACAAAGAGAGGAAGAGAACAGAGUCAGAGACUAAAAAUCACCACUACCACGCGUGAGCGCUGACUUUCCCACGCCCUCGUAAAGACAGUAAGGAGGCCCUGUUGUGAUUCAGUAAUACCAUGGCAAUCCGAAGCUGUCUACGCAAAUGCAACAUCAGCAAAUAAUGCUCAAAUUCUUUCAGAAAGAACCCUUCCUAAAAUGAGCCAAGAAGAAACAUAAAAACAAAUUAGCCUGAUUGGGGGGGGGGGGGUGAGAGACGACAAAACUGUCGCUUAAAAACGUCCUACAAACCAAAGACCUGGUAAUCUGUGAGUUCAAGGCCAGCCUGGAUUCUAUCAUGAGGCGAAGACCAUGGGGUUAGAUGGCAAAGUAACCAUGGGUGUGGAGCCAUCCACUGAAGCAUAACUUAUCAGCACCUACAAAGAAAAGUGACUUCCUCUGUGAGCAGCCACCAACUGUGGGUAGAUCCUCAGCGACGGGGAGGCAUUGCGAGACCAUCUCUGGUCCGUGAGUUUGUUUGUUUGUUUGUUUGUUUGUUUGUUUGUUUGUUUAAAAUUACCUCCAAAG
rnacentral:lncRNA from 1 species